UACAGAGGGUGCAAGCGUUAAUCGGAAUUACUGGGCGUAAAGGGUGCGUAGGUGGUUAGUUAAGUUGUAUGUGAAAACCCUGGGCUUAACCUAGGAAUUGCAUAUAAAACUGAUUAGCUAGAGUGCGGUAGAGGGAAGUGGAAUUUCCGGUGUAGCGGUGAAAUGCGUAGAUAUCGGAAGGAACACCAGUGGCGAAGGCGACUUCCUGGACCGUUACUGACACUGAGGCACGAAAGCGUGGGGAGCGAACAGG
rnacentral:rRNA from 1 species